rnacentral:lncRNA from 1 species
CAAACUUUCACCUACUAGUUUCAGCCUCAAUUGAUGAUUCUUGCUGAAUCAAUUACCAAGAUGGUUGCAAAAUGGUGAUUUUGCAACAUUAUCGUUUCUUCUAAUUAUUGGCAUGCUCUUAUAAGGCAGUUUGUUUUCUCGACCUUAGAAGUUUUGUGUUCAUUUAGUUAUUGGCAUAGACUCAAGAGUCUUGUGUUCUAUGUGGAGUCUGUUACUGUGAUUCCUUGUGAUGUCCAGAUUGUAUGUAUUUGGCCAAUCUUGAGUUCCUUCAGGAAACCUCCUGGAUCCCAUCAUUUUAAGGGUGCUUCCUUACUUUCUAGCAUGAGAUAUUCCAGGCCUACCUUGUACUUUCCCUGCUGCAGCCCUGGAGUCAGUCUUUUGUUGUGGUUUUGCUUUUUAGAGACAGGGUCUUGCUCUGUCGCUCAGGCUGGAGAGCGGUGGUGCAGUCAGCUCACUCCACUCCUGGGCUCAAGCCAUCCUCCUGCCUCAGCCUCCUGAGUAGCUAGGACUAUAGGCAUGCACCACCACGCCCAGCUUUGAAUCCGUCUUUUAUCCAAGGAGCUCUGGCCUUUUAGCGGAGAAUAGCGGAUGACAUGAAUGAUGGGCCUGAAGCAGGAAGUGAAAUGCAAUCCUGACCACCAGACAGAUGGGAUCUUCAGCUGCACUCAGGCAAGAACUAGGCUCGGGGUAGAGGUGACAGCUCUGUGAUGGGGAGCUCAGGCUGCACCAGGAGGCCAUGCUAGGUUUGACUUCAUUUAAAAAGCACACUACACAGCUGACGGGCUCAGGAGCUCCAUGAAGGGCACCCUGCAGAGGUCUGGAGGGUAGUGAGAAGGUACCAAUGGGGCGAGCAUGCCUGUGUCGGGAGGCUGAUCCGGGUAGGAAUAAGCCCAGCAUGCCCCACAUGAGCCCACCAUGAGGAAGCAUUUGGAGAGAAAGCUUGCUCUGUGUUGUCAGAAGGGAGAUUGAAGAAGGUGGGCCCAGGGGUGCUGUUGACAGUAUAGGCUCAUGUGCUGUUCCAAGGCUCAUCUCUGGCUCUUGCCUGGUCUGGCCAUACCAUGUCCACAUCCGCUGUACUUAGGACUUCCUCUGGGCACCAGGGCAGUGGCCUCACCAAGACCUGGAGGCCUAGAUGAUGAAAUCAUACUGGUGUUUGCUGUGCUUGUACAUUCCCAUCAGCAGACAUCCGUGUUUGGGCCUGACUGGCCAACAGGGAAGUCCAGGGAGGACACAGUAUAAGCUGCUUGGGUAGAGGUCAGCUGGAACCUCUUGUGAACUCUGCACCAGAGUGAAGCCUUCACCCAUGGCAGUAUUCCUGUGGGUGGGAGGGAAGCUACUGCAGACUGAAAGCAAAUGAUUCCAAGGAAACACAGUACUUUAGAGAAUUCUCUUUAGAUCCGUGAGUGCUGCCCAUGGAGCUGGGCCAUUCCUCCUGAGAUACAGGACAGGACGCCUCAACUCUGCUUCUUUGGGCUCUCCCAGACCUACCCAGGCCACUGGAGUGAGUCUAGAGAAAUGACCAGGGUGGUGAAGAGACACCCUGCAAACUGGCACAUACGAGAGGAACCCAGGAGGGCAGCAGACCCCAGGGGGAUGAGGGUGCUGCCUGCAAAUCUCUGAAGAGUUGUCACAGAACAGAGUGAAGAGAUGUCCUUUGGGGGCCCCAGGAGGUAGAGAUUCUGGGAAUGAGGUUGGGUUUGUUUCCUCAUUUGUCUGCCUGUCUGUCCGCCAUCCAUCCAACACUUAGUGAGCUUUGCUCUGUGCUGGGCAUAGAGAAUCAACAGUGAACAAGAUGGGCAAAGUCCCUGCCCUCAACCAACAGACUGAAAAGAGAGGAUUCAGUGCCAUCUGCAGGUGGCAUGUGGCUGAGUGGGCACAGGAGCAUGGAGAAGGCGCAGUUAACUGUUAUUUGUAGAGACAGGGGAAGGUGUUCCAUAGAAGUAGUGACUAAGGAGCUUCUGAAGGAGGGGUAGAAUUUAGCGAGGGAGAGAGACUUUGGCUCAAUUAAGUAAAAAGUUAGAUGGGCUCAGUUUUCUUGGGCAAGUCUGGCCUGUUGUGCAAAGCACCCGCACUCCCUGACUCUUCCCCAAACACAAGAGCUAAGGUGGGUGUUCUGUUCCUCCCACUUCUGCCUCCAAAUGACCUGGAGGGAAUUUGUGUCCCAGCUGUUCCCUUCCCUGCCACCUUUGCUCCAGGUAAUAGCCCUCCUCACACCUCUCCACAUCUGAUAGGGAACUUUCCCCUGCCGGAUCUCAGGAGCAUCAGCACUCCCAGCCUCCAAAAUGGGGACAAUGAGCUCACCAAGUCAAUGUUUAAUACAUUAUUGACAGAACUUACGAUGAUUUUAGGUGGCUCAGGGAUGUAGUAAAGUACUUGUGUUCUGCUGGUUAGGCUAAGCUGAAGUGACAAAUGGCCCUCAAAUGUCUGGUUUCAACAAAAGUUCAUUUGCUUUUGUUGAAUGUCUGGCACAUGUCUGUCAGCCAGCAGGCACCUGGGACCCUGCUCCGGGUUAGCUUCACCCCGGGACUCGGGCUGCCAUGUCUGACACGUGGUGGUCCACUGGCAGAGGGACACACGAUCGGGGCAAGUUCUGCUGGCCCUUAAAGCUUCUACCCAGAAGUGACCAUUAACCACUUCUGCCUACAUUCACUGGGCAAAUCAGGUCCCAUGGCAACGUGAGAGGGCAUGUACUCUCCCUGAGGGGCAGCAAACAGUAACUACCAAAACCAAUGAAUAUUUUCAUUUUAAUAGUUUAAUGUAUGUUUAUAGUAAUAUAAAAAGUCUUUUCAGUGUGUGAAAAAAAGACAUGUUGUAGGAUGGGAUCCUGGAAUGGAAAAAGGACAUUAGGUAACAAACUAAAGAAAUCUGAGGCCAGGCACAGUGGCUCAUGUUUGUAAUCCCAGCACUUUGGGGGAUUGAAGCAGGCGGAUCACUUGAGCCCAGGAGUUUGAGACCAGGCUAGGCAACAUGGCAAAACCCCGUCUCUACAAAAAAAUACAUAAAUUAGCCAGGCGUGGUGGUGCAUGCCUGUAGUCCCAGCUGCUCAGGAGGCUGAGGUGGGAGGAUCACCUGAGUGAGCCUGAGGAGGUCAAGGCUGCGGUGAACCAUGAUCACACCACUGCACUCUAGCCUGGGCAACAGAGUGAGAUCCCGUUUCAAAAAGAAAAAAAUCUGAAUAAACUAUGGACUUUAGUUAAUAAUGUGCCAGUACUAGUUUAU